UCCCCAGUGGCACAAUUGGUUAGCGCACGAUACUUAUAAUGCCCGGGUUGUGAGUUCGAGCGUCACCUGGGGAA